rnacentral:rRNA from 1 species
CAGUCGCCACGGUAAUACGAAGGGGGCUAGCGUUGUUCGGAUUUACUGGGCGUAAAGUGCACGUAGGCGGACUUUUAAGUCAGGGGUGAAAUCCCGGGGCUCAACCCCGGAACUGCCUUUGAUACUGGAAGUCUUGAGUAUGGUAGAGGUGAGUGGAAUUCCGAGUGUAGAGGUGAAAUUCGUAGAUAUUCGGAGGAACACCAGUGGCGAAGGCGGCUCACUGGACCAUUACUGACGCUGAGGUGCGAAAGCGUGGGGAGCAAACAGGAUUAGAUACCCCUGUAGUCCCUGUCUCUUAUAC